AUGGGCUGCGGCUUACGGAAACUGGAAGACCCGGAGGACUGCAGCCCCGGGAAGAUCUACUCCACCCUGAGGAGACCACAAGUGGAGACCAAGACGGAUACUGUGUACGAGUAUGUGCUGCUCGACUUCAGCCUGGAAGGAAGCCGUCCGACGGUGCAGUAUGUGGCGUCCCUCUCCGAGCUGCCCCAGGCCCUGCAGCCCUACUACACACAAGGCUACGUCCUGUCCGCCCUGCACCCCAUCAUCCUGUCUGUGGGCCGAACACGGUCACUGCCCUUCAGCCUGCUCUACCGCGCCAUCCUUGCUCGUCCCAGACCCAGUAAGCAGACGGCGUCCAUGUGUCACAGCGUGCCAAUGUUGAGGGUGGAGGAGUGGCCAUUACCUGGAGAGUCACUGACGGGCGACACAGUCAGAGCCCUCAUCGACAGGGUGAACAGCAGUGCCCGGGGGGGCGUUCGCUUCAUCGGCUCGGUGCUCCAGCAGGUUAGCGGGAUCACCAACGGCAGGGUACACAGUCCAAAUCGGGGCUGUCGCUCCCCUCCACGCACCCCUCCUGGUACACCGCCGGGAGACAGAGAGCUGGAGGAGAACACCUACAGUCCUGACUUGAGGUUGCUGGUCUUCUUCCACUCCUGGGCCCCUGGCUGUGCUCCUCUGGACUCACUGGCUUGUCAGUACCACCAGGGGGCGCUCUCUAUGCGUGUUUCCAGGAAGGGCCAGGUGGUCAGCGCCCUGGAGGCUGAUUGGCUUGAGCUGACUGCAGCCUACUACCGCAAAGGCUGGUCAUUGGUGGACUCCUUUGUCUACUGGGACACACCUAAAGGCGAGCCGGUGCCCAGGUCACUGGAGGGCCUGUUUGUGUAUGAAGAGAGAAGCACCUCUCCUCCUGCCAAUGACACCAUCGUCGUAGAGCAGUGGACUGUCAUUGAGGGCUCCAAUGUGAAAACAGACUACGGGCCCCUCCUCCACACGCUGGCUGAGUUUGGUUGGCUGCUCACAUGUGUGCUGCCCACUCCUAUCAUCCGACACGACAGUGAUGGGAACCUGGCCACCAAGCAGGUCGUGUUUCUCCAGAGGCCAGUGAGAGGUCAGGCAGCAGAACAACUUAGGAACCAGGCUCUGUCUGUGCACAGUGACGUGUCCAGUCGCUCUGUAAGUCGUGCGGUCAGCAACCCUGUCCCUUCAGAGGAGCUGUCUCCGACCGCUGGAGGCAUUGGGGGCUUCCCGGUGUUCGGAGGGGGGUAUCCCAGCGCCCUGUCCCACCUGGAGGAAGGUGGCUUUGAGCAGGAGGAGGGAAAGGCUGAAGUCACCUGUAUGUGAGCGAGGAAACAGACAGCUGCAGCUUCACCCGCGGACCCAAGUCAAGGAUUUAACCUGCUGGAAUUCUGAAGAAAACAUCCAAAUGAACUUGGAUGUCCAAACUAUUGAUUGGCCGUCAUGUUAAUGACCCCUUCCUUUUAACAGAGACUUUAAAGUAAAAGAACUCGGCACUUUUUAAAAAUGUUUUUAAUGAAGCCAUAAUGACGAUAAGGUAUUAUGUAGAAAUGGAUCUAUGUCCAAACUUUUAUACAGAUUUGUUGGGGAGGGAAACAAGUCAAUGAGAGACUCUUACACAUACAGUAUAUAAAUCCACUUCAGAGGAUUUCCAGGGGAUCAAGCACAAAAACUUUGCACAGAUUUCUGCACAUUAUGUAAAAAGCACUGUUUGUGGUGAAAUGAGGGGAAAGUGUUCUUCCUUUCUUUUUGGCCCAACUCACAAAUUACAAUUUUGGGAACCAGUUCCACUCCUGUUCAGAGUGUUUUCAAAAAAGUAAACUGGAUUCAACUCUUAAAAUUGGAUCAUAAAUAUAGCAUGUUAUCCUUGACCUGAGGUAACAACUCAAGGGGGCAUGUCGUGUUGUACAGGUUGUUAUGGUUGUUAUGUGUUGUGGAACACCUCUAAUGGAUGACACAUUCUUGAUUACCAUCUUUGGUUCUGCUUAAAACUGGGGGAAACAUGGGCUGGUUUGCUCAAUAGCACCAAGAUUCUAAACAGAACUAGUUCAAGAACCAGAGCUAAUGUAGUGGAAAAACACCUUAAUCCAGCAGGGCUCAGUGAAGCUGCCGAAGAUUGCACAUUUUUUACAGAUAACAGUAUUUCCCUGAAGAGGGUCUCGAGGAUUUUAGAGUUCUGUGGGGUCACAGGUGCUAUGAGUGACUUUUCAGUAUUGUAAACUGGAGAUUUUAAAACUUUCAUAUCGCGCAUUGACCCAGAAGAACCAUCGAGUCCACACAUCUGCGCAAAGUUUAGUUCACCUGGUGCCAUUUAAUAAUCAUUCUGGAAAAGUUCAUGGCUUGUUUUGUAUACGUUUGAAAGUUUUAUUUAGUAUUUGAUUAGCCACAGUGUUGGUGUACGUGUUUCUUACUUCAGUCAAAAUUUCAAAAUGGCUGCUUGCUGCUUUAUGGUACUGGUAAUACUCCUGCAUUUCUCUCUGAGAUGGAUGAAGUUCUUCAAACACAUAUGCAUUAUCAUAUUGAAGCAAUGACUGUAUUCUUUUUUCUCUUUUUUAAAGGGGAGUUCUGCAGAUUUUACACAUCAGUAUUUGUUUUUAGGUCUUACAAUGUACUACUGCAUAUGUGAGAAAUGUUGUUCUAAGCCUUUUGUGGCUCCAGAGAGAGCUGUGCUGGGGGUGUGUUGUUAGAAAGAAGUGAGCUUACAGACAUCUGUAGCUGCUCACUGCUUGAGGCUUACAGCUUGGGGCUACAUUAGCACCUGCUGCCAUAAGACAUGACAAGGAAGAAGCAUUUGUUAAAUAUGUAUCUGUGGUUCUGCUGCAUCAAUUUGAUACUUUAAAUUACUGUUACAGAAGUGCAAAUGCUGAACCAGUGGAGUUUUCUUUGAAUGCAAAGCCCAGGACAACUACUUUUCAAAGAGGAUAAAUUUACAUUGUACAUAUCUUAGAUGUUAGUAUUCAUCAUUGCGAGAAUGGUCUCACCUAAUUGUAAUGCAUGUUAUUUUGUUUUGAAGGAGCAAAGGGAUCAAAUGCACCGAAAGUAUAAUUUAGGUAUUCAGUGUUGUAUACACUUCCCAAGUUUGAGUAAUUCAUUUUUUUAAUUAUGUAUUUAGCUCAAAGUCCCCAUCAGGGUUGACUAAACGUUAGUAUUGUUCCAGCCAGUCCAUCAUGGAGAGUUGUACAUUUUGCUUCUUUUAUCAGUGUUUUUUUAAAAGUUGUAUUAAACACUUAUUUCCCAUGG